UUGGGAAAGCUCAGUUGGUAGAGCAUGAGACUCUUAAUCUCAGGGUCUUGGGUUCGAAACCCACAACGGGCAAAA